GCUUACGACACUCUGUCAACACUCAGCACGUCUGGCUGCUCUCGCAGUGCAGUACUCUGUUAAAGGGAGACGAGCCUUGCUCCGCGAUCCAUCUUGCUCUGAGCAUUACCUCGCAAGCAAAGUGUACCGGCGGCGGCGGCGGCAGCAGGUGCUGCCGCUCCGUGCCUGGACAAGCGGACGCAGUCAUUGCUGGCUGUCUGCGUUGAUUAAAGGUCACACUGGUCAGUGGUCAUUUCAAAUCAUGGGAUGGUAAUUGAGACUGACGGAUCCGGAUGAAUUGUUAACGGGAGAGCGGAAAAAAAGGAAAGAGUUUUGGGCAACGGCAUCACAUGCGGCCGGGAGGGAGGUGGAGAGUCGGUAACAGGCGGCAGCUGUAUAAAAAGCCCGGAAACUUAAACAUUGCACAAGUCGGCUGGAGCUCCGAGUUGGGGAGAUCUCGUCUGCUCCGGCUCUUUCGCGGCGAGACACAGACCGAGGUAUUGUGAGCCAGUGAGAGAGAGAAAGCACUGGAUUCGCCCGCACUAGGGAUCUUUUUUUGUUACACAGCCUACAACAUAACUAGUGUGGACAAAAAAAAAGCAAAGUGGCUGAAUGGAGCCUGUCACUGUGUGGAAAAGGAUGGGAGAUCUCCCUGUUCGUGUCAGGAAAAAAAAUCAACCCAAGACAUUUGGUCCCUCGGCUGCCAAUGAUGUAAAAACUUUGGCGAUUCGGAAGACAUCGUCCGCUUAAACGAGACACAGGAAAGCCCGGCGAGUGAUUGGAGGUGCAAUCCUUGCUCCAUGGAUUUCCUUCUUGUGGGUCUCAGUCUGCACUGGCUCCUGAAAAAGCCUUCGGCGUCGUUUGUGUGUGUGCUCGGCGCGUUGUUGGAAAUGUUGCCCGCCGCUGACAGCCUGUGCGCCCAGCAGUGCCGCUGCGACGGGAAGCUGGCGUACUGCGAGUCGCAGAGCCUGAGCGAGAUGCCGCGCAACCUGUCGGGGGUGCAGGGUCUGUCGCUCCGCUACAACAGCCUGUCCGAGCUGCACGACGACCAAUUCGCCGGCUUGCUGCAGCUCACUUGGCUCUACCUCGACCACAACCACAUCUACUCGGUGGACCCGAAUGCCUUUCGAGGGCUGCGCCGGCUCAAAGAGCUGGUGCUCAGCUCCAACAAGAUCACCCAGCUGCCCAACGCCACGUUCAGGCCCAUGCCGAACCUGCGGCAUGUGCAGCUGUCCUACAACAACCUGCAGGCACUGGAACCCGACCUCUUCCACGGACUGCGCAAGCUGCAGACGCUGCACUUGAGGUCGAAUGCACUGAAGUUUAUACCGGUCAGGAUCUUCCAGGACUGCCGCAGCCUGGAGUUUCUGGACGUCGGAUAUAAUCAGCUGCAGAGCCUGGCGCGGAACGCGUUCGCAGGCUUGUUGAAACUGACUGAACUCCACCUGGAGCACAACGACUUGGUGAAAGUAAACUUUGCUCACUUCCCACGGCUGCUCUCUCUGAGAACCCUGUACAUGCAGUGGAACAAAGUUAGCAUUGUGGUGAAUUCCUUAGACUGGACUUGGAACCAUCUAGAAAAACUAGACCUCUCUGGAAAUGAGAUUGAACUCAUUGAAUCUUAUGCCUUUGAAGUUGUGCCUAACCUCAAAAUACUUCAGUUGGAUUCAAACCGUCUCACCACCAUCGAGCAGCCAAUUCUGGACUCUUGGAAAUCUCUAACUAGCAUCAGCCUUUCCGGGAACAGCUGGGAGUGCAAUCGGAAUAUAUGUGCUUUGGCCACCUGGCUGAGCAGUUUUAAGGGACAUCACGAAGGCAGCCUGUUGUGUGCCAGCCCCGUCCACACCCAGGGCGAGGAGGUACUAGACGCCGUGCAUGGUUUUCACAUAUGUGACGACCCGGUCACAAGCACGGCGACAGUGUCAGGCAUGACCAGCGUGGCGGAGACAGACCAAGAUAUGACGGCAAUCAGAGAUGCUUCCAGCAUGUAUGCCACGCAGGAUACAACGGGAGUAAGAACCACUGAAUUGAUCAGUGUCACAGGCGUGCUUUCUCACGAUCAACAGGAAAAUACUAUUCAUGUUCACAAAGUAAUCACGGGCACCAUGGCCCUGCUCUUCUCCUUUCUGAUAGUGGUGCUGGUGCUCUACGUUUCGUGGAAGUGCUUUCCUGCUGGCCUGAGGCACUUGAGGCAGUGCUUUGUGACACAGCGCCGCAAGCAGAAACAGCAACAAACUAUGCAUCAGAUGGCUGCCAUGUCCACCCAGGAAUACUACGUGGACUACAAGCCCAAUCACAUUGAGGGGGCUCUGGUGAUCAUCAAUGAUUACGGAUCGUGUUCUUGUCAUCAACAGCCGGCCAGGGAAUGUGAAGUGUGAUUUUCCCUUCCUCCCCCCCACCACACUACCACCACCCCCCACCUCCUCAACCCCCACCAAAAACUGGAAGUACAACACACUGCUUGGGGACAUUCUGCAGCCCAGUGACUGCACGUAUUACAAUACUGAGUGUGAAUGAAUUACACUGUACUGAUUCCAAGAAACCCUGCACCGGUCUCUUUCAGAAUUCCAAACAAUAUUUAAGCUUCAACGCGUCUUUAAAACCUUUGAAACAUCCUCUGUUCAACUGUCAUUUGAAAUUUGUAAAGGAUUAAAAAAUGUAUAUGUAACUUCCCACCAGUCUCUUAUGAUAUUAAGUCCGCCUGUAAGAUCUGGGAAUAAGAGGGAGUACACGGCUCGUCAAUGAUGCGUUGUUCGACCCGCUGAGGUCCCCCAGCAGUUUUUCUUUGCUCCAGAUGACGGCAUCUGCGGUCUCUUGUGCCUCCGUACUACAAGUGUUCUUCGUCCUCCUGGUUAAAGGAGUCAAUGGGGAAUAAACUCGGAAACUAUUCCUGAUCCCAGCAAACUUUACUGAAAUAAUGAUGUGUGUGUCUGUGGUUUAUUCACCCCAAUGUUGAAUGACUCAAGAUUUGCAACUCUAACGGGAACUCUGGCUUCUUGAGAAUGGUACCACAGAGUCUUACAUUGUCGAGGCCAUUGGAAUAAAAGGCCAAAACAGUUUUUCUUCUGCCUGCUUGCUAACCUCACUUCCUUGCUCAAUGCAAGGCCUAUCACCGACCACACUUUACUGCAGCAGUGAUUAAUCAUGUUUUACAUCGAUUGAUUUUAAUAGAGAACAUCAAUUCGGAUAUUCAGCACGCGUUCAGGAAUUGUCAA